rnacentral:rRNA from 1 species
GAUGAACGCUAGCUACAGGCUUAACACAUGCAAGUCGAGGGAACACGGCAUUGGGUGCUUGCACUCUUUGGACGUCGACCGGCGCACGGGUGAGUAACGCGUAUCCAACCUUCCCAUUACUGUGGGAUAACCUGCCGAAGGGCAGACUAAUACCGCAUAGUCUUCGAUGACGUCAUCAGAUUUGAAGUAAAUAUUUGUCGGUAAUGGAUGGCGAUGCGUCUGAUUAGCUUGUUGGCGAGGUAACGGCUCACCAAGGCUACGAUCAGUAGGGGUGCUGAGAGGAAGGUCCCCCACAUCGGAACUGCGACACAGUCCACACACGUACGGGAGGCAGCAGAGAGGAAUAUUAGGCAAUAGACGGAAGUCGGAACCAGCCAAGUAGCGGGCAGGAGGACGGCGCUAGGGGUUGUAAACUGCUUUUGAAUGGGGAUAAAGUAAGGGACUAGGCACGAUUUGAAGGUACCAUACGAAAAAGGACCGGCUAAUUACGUG